UACGAAGGGGGGCUAGCGUUGCUCGGAAUCACUGGGCGUAAAGCGCACGUAGGCGGCUUUCUAAGUCAGGGGGUGAAAUCCUGGAGCUCAACUCCAGAACUGCCUUUGAUACUGGAGAGCUCGAGUCCGGAAGAGGUGAGUGGAACUGCGAGUGUAGAGGUGAAAUUCGUAGAUAUUCGCAAGAACACCCGUGGCGAAGGCGGCCCACUGGGCCGGUACUGACGCGAGGCGCGA
rnacentral:rRNA from 1 species